rnacentral:rRNA from 1 species
GACCAGCGGAGGGAUCAUUAUAGAGUUUUCUAAACUCCCAACCCAUGUGAACUUACCUUUUGUUGCCUCGGCAGAAGUUAUAGGUCUUCUUAUAGCUGCUGCCGGUGGACCAUUAAACUCUUGUUAUUUUAUGUAAUCUGAGCGUCUUAUUUUAAUAAGUCAAAACUUUCAACAACGGAUCUCUUGGUUCUGGCAUCGAUGAAGAACGCAGCGAAAUGCGAUAAGUAAUGUGAAUUGCAGAAUUCAGUGAAUCAUCGAAUCUUUGAACGCACAUUGCGCCCAUUAGUAUUCUAGUGGGCAUGCCUGUUCGAGCGUCAUUUCAACCCUUAAGCCUAGCUUAGUGUUGGGAAUCUACUUCUCUUAGGAGUUGUAGUUCCUGAAAUACAACGGCGGAUUUGUAGUAUCCUCUGAGCGUAGUAAUUUUUUUCUCGCUUUUGUUAGGUGCUAUAACUCCCAGCCGCUAAACCCCCAAUUUUUUGUGGUUGACCUCGGAUCAGGUAGGAAUACCCGCUGAACUUAAGCAUAUCAAUAAGCGGAGGAAAAGAAACCAACAGGGAUUGCCUUAGUAACGGCGAGUGAAGCGGCAACAGCUCAAAUUUGAAAUCUGGCCCUUGGGUCCGAAUUGUAAUUUGUAGAGGAUGAUUUUGGUGCGGUAUCUUCCGAGUUCCUUGGAACAGGACGCCUUAGAGGGUGAGAGCCCCGUACGGUUGAAUGCCUAGCCUCUGUAAAUCUCCUUCGACGAGUCGAGUAGUUUGGGAAUGCUGCUCUAAAUGGGAGGUAAAUUUCUUCUAAAGCUAAAUAUUGGCCAGAGACCGAUAGCGCACAAGUAGAGUGAUCGAAAGAUGAAAAGCACUUUGAAAAGAGGGUUAAAUAGCACGUGAAAUUGUUGAAAGGGAAGGAUUUGUGACCAGACUUUUUCUGGGCGGAUCAUCCGGGGUUCUCUCCGGUGCACUUCGCCCAGUAAAGGCCAGCAUCGGUUUUCGGCGUGGGAUAAAAGCAGUAGGAAUGUGGCUCUCUACGGGGAGUGUUAUAGCCUAUUGUAUAAUACCGCGCUGGGGACCGAGGUUCGCGCUUCUGC